rnacentral:tRNA from 1 species
GGGCCCGUGGGGUAGUCUGGAUAUCCUAGGGGACUUCGGAUCCCCGGACCCGGGUUCGAAUCCCGGCGGGCUCG